UACAGAGGUCUCAAGCGUUGUUCGGAUUCAUUGGGCGUAAAGGGUGUGUAGGCGGCGCCGUAAGUCGGGUGUGAAAUUUCGGAGCUUAACUCCGAAACUGCAUUCGAUACUGCGGUGCUUGAGGACUGGAGAGGAGACUGGAAUUCAUGGUGUAGCAGUGAAAUGCGUAGAGAUCAUGAGGAAGACCAGUGGCGAAGGCGGGUCUCUGGACAGUUACUGACACUGAGACGCGAAGGCCAGGGGAGCAAACGGG
rnacentral:rRNA from 1 species